UUCGAUUCACAACAAGCCUCCAAAUGAGGAUCCAGAAUCAACGUUGGGUCGUCGAAUUAUAAACGACCCAAAAAUUCGUUGGGGAAAUGUGCUCAAGGUACAUGGAGAAUUUUACUAUCUUCCUCAUUAUUGGGAGUGGUUAGAGCUCGUUGUUGCUAGAAAUACGGCAGUACUCAAGCGAGCCUCCCUAUUUAAUGCUGUGAUGGCUUCCCUAUAUACAUAUGAUCGCAACAGUGACAUUGAUCGGGCUUUCUGCGAGGCAUGGUGUCCUUCAACAAACACUCUUCACACCUCAGCUGGUGAGAUGUCCAUCUCCUUAUGGGACUUAUGGAUACUAGGAGGACUCCCGAUUAAAGGUAGAUUUUAUGAAGAAAGCAUUCCUUGCCACCAAGACUUAAUAGGAUCACCUGAUGUAUGUCCAAGAAGUUGUGAGCAUUUAUUUGCAGCCUAUUACCGCAUUGUUUCUCAACGCAUGGAUCACUCUCAAACCACUGUAAGUGAAUGGAUCUCUUUUUGGGUUACACGAUCUGAGGUAAAGUAUUCGGAACCGCCUCCUCGAAAGCCUAAAAAGACUUCUCGCCCUCGCUCAACUCAUAAUCCAGAUGGAAUUCCCAUCAGACGUCCUGACUGGUCUAAAGCUGAACUCAAAGUGUUCCUUGACUUAAGCGUCACUGAUGAUCAUAGGGACAAAACCUAUCUAGCGGCAUUUCUCUCUUGUUGGCUAUGUGUGUUUGUGUUCCCUGAUAAGCAACUUUCCCUUCGUCCGGAGGUUUUUAAGGUUGCUAGCCUCAUGGCGGAAGGCUACACAUUUA
rnacentral:lncRNA from 1 species